rnacentral:rRNA from 1 species
GUCUAUGGCUAUGCCACACUAAACAAGCCCGAUCCCGACUGAUCUUGGAAGCUAAGCAGGGUCGGGCCUGGUUAGUACUUGGAUGGGAGACCACCUAGGAAGACCAGGUGCUGUAGGUG